GAUGAACGCUGGCGGCGUGCCUAAUACAUGCAAGUCGAGCGAACGGACGAGAAGCUUGCUUCUCUGAUGUUAGCGGCGGACGGGUGAGUAACACGUGGAUAACCUACCUAUAAGACUGGGGUAACUUCGGGAAACCGGAGCUAAUACCGGAUAAUAUUUUGAACCGCAUGGUUCAAAAGUGAAAGACGGUCUUGCUGUCACUUAUAGAUGGAUCCGCGCUGCAUUAGCUAGUUGGUAAGGUAACGGCUUACCAAGGCAACGAUGCAUAGCUGAUCUGAGAGGGUGAUCAGCCACACUGGAACUGAGACACGGUCCAGACUCCUACGGGAGGCAGCAGUAGGGAAUCUUCCGCAAUGGGCGAAAGCCUGACGGAGCAACGCCGCGUGAGUGAUGAAGGUCUUCGGAUCGUAAAACUCUGUUAUUAGGGAAGAACAUAUGUGUAAUUAACUGUGCACAUCUUGACGGUACCUAAUCAGAAAGCCACGGCUAACUACGUG
rnacentral:rRNA from 1 species